CAGUAGAGCUUAAAUGCCUCGAGAGGCAUCAGAGACCAUCUGUUCUUGGAAGCAAAGCAGGGUCAGCCCUGGUUAGUACUUGGAUGGGAGACUGCCAACAAAUACCAGGUGCUGUAUGCU
rnacentral:rRNA from 1 species